UUUUGUCUCUGAAACUCCAAAGUGAUCACAUUCUGGUCCCCAACAGCUGCCGCUGAACGCGGCGGAGACGGAGGGGAAGAAGAAGAAGGAGGUGUCGGUUCUGGCGGAGGAAAAGCGGAGGGAGAAGAAGGUGGGACGGGUUUCAAAGGAGGUGAUGGAGAAGGUGCCACAGGUCUUCUCAAAGGACCCUCAGUUUGAGAACUCCUUAUCGUCACAAUAUAAGGCUUGGGUGGUACAGACAAUCUACAACUGGUCGAAGAUGAGGCUGACGAGGAACAUGGAGGUGAAGCAGAAGAAGGGUUUGGGAUUUUCAGACAUGAAAUUGAGGUUGCCAUAGACAUUAGUAUUAGGUGGUUGUUUUUUCUUUGGUUUAUCUAAACUCUGGGGAUUUUUGUGUG
rnacentral:lncRNA from 1 species